rnacentral:rRNA from 1 species
UACGUAGGGUGCAAGCGCUGUCCGGAAUUAUUGGGCGUAAAGAGCUCGUAGGCGGUCUGUCGCGUCUGCUGUGAAAACUCAGGGCUUAACCCUGAGCUUGCAGUGGGUACGGGCAGACUAGAGUGCGGUAGGGGAGACUGGAAUUCCUGGUGUAGCGGUGAAAUGCGCAGAUAUCAGGAGGAACACCGGUGGCGAAGGCGGGUCUCUGGGCCGUAACUGACGCUGAGGAGCGAAAGCAUGGGGAGCAAACAGG